rnacentral:lncRNA from 1 species
CCCCUCCUUCUAAAUGGCUGUAUCUGUGUCUACUUGACAUAACACUAGCCAGCACUGCCAGGAUCUUGGGCAGCAGAGAAUUCCAGUAAUAAAGGAUAGAGUAUCAGGGGUCCUCAGACCUAUCGACUUCUGUAAAACAGAGGAAGACACUAACAUUUGGGCAGCUUGUUAAAAUUUCUCGCCAGGAGCCAGAAUUCUAAGCCUGCUAAAGGAAUGGACCUGGCCUCUCUAAAGACGUGAAGCAGCAAUGAACUGGAUCAAACUGAAGCCAGGCAAAGCCCAUGCUCAGCCCAACCAGAAGCAGACUUGGCCUGAAAGAGGGAGGAGUGUUCUUUUUCUGGAGGUGAGUUCCUUUUGUCUUAACGGCCAGUGCUUUGACUCUGCAGGUUUUAUACCUGAGGAGUCAACCAACUGUGGAUUUGAAUAUUUGCAAAGAAUACUGUGUCUGUAUUGUACACACACAACAGGACAGCAUGACUAUUUACAUAGCUUUUAUACUACAUUAACUAUUAUGAGCAGAGAUGAUUCACAAUAUAUGAAAGAGUGCAUGUAGGUUGUAUGCAAACAAAGAGACAGAUCUGGGUAUCGGAGGAGUCUUAGAACCAAUCCCUGUGAGGACUCUGGGCCAUCUUUGCACACAUGUGCUACAGGAAUCAUUGAAAGACAUGCAUAGAUGUAAGGAAACCACAAUGGUGGUUAAUGAAAAUGUGUGCAGCAAUGACCAGGGUGAACCACUGUUAAGUAACUGAUGAGCAUGAACCACCAGCAGUACAUUAUUGUCAGGCUAACAUCCAAUAAUCAUGUACUCUUAGUAUUCAGUGAAGGGGUAGUGAGAAUUUAAAAUUAUUUCUAUUCUUUUUUAAAAAAUGUAUUUCUACAAGCAUUUCCAAAAACAAAAAAAUUCUAAAAACAAGUAUUUCAAGAAAAAAAAAAAGAAAAAAAGAAAAA